rnacentral:rRNA from 1 species
GGACUACAGGGGUAUCUAAUCCUGUUUGCUACCCACGCUUUCGUGUCUCAGCGUCAGCAAUGGUCCAGAAAGCCGUCUACACCGCUGGUGUUCCUCCUGAUAUCUACGCAUUUCACCGCUACACCAGGAAUUCCGCUUUCCUCUCCCACGCUCGAGCAUCCCAGUUUUCGGCGCACCCUCCCAGUUGAGCCAGGAGAUUUCACACCGAACUUAGGACACCGCCUACACACUCUUUACGCCCAGUAAUUCCGAACAACGCUCGCUGCCUACGUAUUACCGCGGCGGCUGGCAC